rnacentral:rRNA from 1 species
AUGAUGAGGUUGGGGCGCCACCGGUGGCGCCGCCUAAGCGGUGACUCUGCGGUGCCAGGAGAUGCAAGGCGAUAUCAGGACAGGAAGGGUGGUGGCUGCUCGCCGGAGCAGGACCAGCCGAUGUGCGUGACUGGAGCCACCGGCUACAUCAUCCAGUGGCUCGACCACACCCGCUUCGGCAGGGCCACCGUGUCCACGCCACAGCGUGGGACCCAGAUGCACCAAUGUUGA